rnacentral:lncRNA from 10 species
CGCCCCUCAGGGCCCUCGCCCAAGGGUGAGCGCGCGCUUGCGCCACAGACGCUGCCUGGCCGCGCGCGCAGGCGCAGGCGCAGGCGCAGAGGCCGACACCACGGGGCGGCUGGUAUGUGUCCACCGGCCCCUAGGCGCCUCGAGCCCCGCCCCUGGGAGACGCAGGCUCCUCCCCGCGGAGCGAGAGCCCGCGGAGCUGCUCCGAGACCCGCGGGAGGGCACCUCCGGUCACCCGAGCCGCAAAUCCCCGCCGUCCGAAGGGGGUGUCGCCCCGGGCUGUCGGCCCAGCGUGGCUUAGGCCAGGUACAACCGGCAGCGCCCGCCAAGCCCUGGGCUAGGGACGCCUGCGGGAGUUCACGGGGAGGCGCCGGUGUCUGAGGUCUGAGAAGACAGCGGCCACCGGAAAAGGUGCUAAUGUUUGCAGACCCCGAUCCAUCGACACCCCAAGGAAAUGCUGUGCACAAAAUUCCAAGAGGGCCUUUUCGAAUAGACGCAUGAACGGUGUUUGUGUCUGGAUCGUCCAGCCUCCCGGGAUCGAUUGGGAAUCUAGCUUCUGCUUGCCUUUCCAGCGCGACGCACAGUAGGAGCCUAAUAAAUGUUUGCUGAAUGAAUGCUGAAUAUCGAACUCAGAUGCUCCCGGAUUUUGCUCUCCAGCUUCUGGUUCUCAGUCUCCAGGCUCCUCACUCUGCC